rnacentral:rRNA from 1 species
AAUGAACGUUGGUGGCGUGGAUUAGGCAUGCAAGUCGUGCGAGAAGGUGGCUUCGGCCACCGGACAGCGGCGAACGGGGUAGUAAGGCGUCGGAACGUGCCCACGGGUCCGGGAUAGCGGCGGGAAACUGCCGGUAAUACCGGAUGACCUCUCUGGAGCAAAGGUGUGAUUCCGCCUGUGGAGCGGCCGACGUGAUACCAGCUAGUUGGUGAGGUAACGGCUCACCAAGGCUCAGACGUCUAGGGGGUGUGAGAGCAUGGCCCCCACCACUGGGACUGAGACACUGCCCAGACACCUACGGGUGGCUGCAGUCGAGAAUCUUCGGCAAUGGGCGCAAGCCUGACCGAGCGACGCCACGUGCGGGAUGACGGCCCUCGGGUUGUAAACCGCUGUCGAGGGGGAUGAAGUCACGAAGGGCAAUCCCUUCGUGUUGACAGAGCCCUGGAGGAAGCGCGGGCUAAGUACGUGCCAGCAGCCGCAGUAACAC